rnacentral:rRNA from 1 species
GUAGGUGGCAAGCGUUGUUCGGAAUCACUGGGCAUAAAGCGCGCGUAGGCGGCCAAGUCAGUCGGGUGUGAAAUCCCUCGGCUCAACCGAGGAACUGCGCCCGAUACUGCUCGGCUUGAGGUCCGGAGGGGAGAGUGGAAUUCCCGGUGGAGCGGUGAAAUGCGUAGAGAUCGGGAAGAACGCCGGCGGCGAAAGCGACUCUCUGGUCGGAAUCUGACGCUGAGGCGCGAAAGCUAGGGGAGCAAACGGGAUUAGAUACCCCGGUAGUCCUAGCCAUAAACGAUGGGCACUAGGUACUGGUCGUUCCUAUGCGGUCAGUGCUGGAGCGAAUGUUUUAAGUGCCCCGCCUGGGAAGUACGGCCGCAAGGCUAAA